rnacentral:rRNA from 1 species
AGGAACGCUGGCGGCGUGCCUAACACAUGCAAGUCGAACGGACUUCGGGGCAACUCGAAGUCAGGUGGCGGACGGGUGCGUAACACGUGAGGAACCAUGCCUAUCGGCGGGGGAUAGCCGGUCCAACGACCGGGUGUAAUACCGCCGUACGACCUUUGGGUAGGCAUUCACCUGGGGGGGUGAAUAAGCAGCAAUGCACCGAUAGAGUGCCUCGCGGCACUAUCAGCUAGUUGGUGGGGUAAUGGCUCACCAAGGCGACGACGGGUAGCUGGUCUGAGAGUGAUGACCAGCCUACAUUUGGGACUGAGACACGGCCCAGACUCCUACGGGAUGGCAGCAGUGGAGGAAUAUUUGCAGCAAUGGGCGAAAGCCUGACGCAGCGACGCCGCGUGUGGGAUGACAGAGUCUUCGGAUUGUAAACCACGUCGGGAGGGACGAAGCUCUGACGGUACUCCAAAGGACUAGCACCUGGCUAACUCUGUGGCCAGCAGCCUGCGGUAAUACAGAGGGUGCGAGCGUUGUCCGGAAUCACUGGCGUAAAGGGCGCCGUAGGCGGCCUGAUAAGUCGGGGUGAAAUUCUGCGGCUUACCGCAGGACGGCCAUUCGAGACUGUCGGGCUGGCACGGUAGAGGCUGUGGAAAUUCCCGGUGUAGCGGUGAAUGCGUAGAGAUCGGGAGAACAUCGGUGGCGAAGGCGGCAGCUGGGCCGUUGCUGACGCUGAGGCGCGACAGCGUGGGAGCAACAGGAUUAGAUACCUGGUAGUCCACGCCGUAAACGAUGGGUACUAGGCGUCGGGGGGAGCGACCCCUUCAGGUGCCGUCGCUAACGCAGUAAGUACCACCCGCCUGGGGAGUACGGCCGCAAAGCUGAAACUCAAAGGACAAUGACGGGGGCCCGCAACAAGCGGUAGUGGAGCAUGUGGUUUAAUUCGAAGCAACGCGAAGAACCUUACCAUGGGUCUUGACAUGCACGGGAAAGCCGGUAGGAAACAUCAGGUCCCUCUUCGGAGGUCCGAUGCACAGAGUGCUGCAUGGCUGUCGUCAGCAUCAUGUGUCGUGAGAUGUUGGGUUAAGUCCCUGCACGAGUCGCAACCACUCGUCCCUAGUUACCAGCGGAGUAAUAGCCUGGGCACUUCAUAGGGAAGGACUGCCGGUGUCAAACCGGAGGAAGGUGGGGACGACGUCAAGUCAUCAUGGCCCUUACGUCAGGCAGGCGACACACGUGCUAGCAAUGGCCGAGUUACAACGCGUCGCCAACCCGCAAGGGUGCGCAUAAUCGCUAAAGCCGGUCUAAGUUCGGAUUGUAGUCUGCAACUCGACUACAUGAAGCUGGAAUCGCUAGUAAUCGCGGAUCAGCCAUUGCCGCGGUGAAUACGUUCCCAGGGCCUUGUACACACCGCCCGUCACGCCAUGGAAGCUGGGGGGACCUGAAGUCGGUGGGCCAACACGCAGGGGGCAGCCGCCAAAGGUCAAUUCAGUGACUGGGGGC